GAAGAUUUGAUUUUCUAUGAAGAUUAAUAUUUAGAGAAAUUAAAAAUUAAGAUUUUCAACAUUUUAUUUAAAAACAACUGUCGAAGUGAAAUGUAUUAUACCGAAAACAAUUCGAAUUCGUGUUGCACUUCGCUAUCCGAAGCGAACGCAGUAAUAGAGGCCAGGUAGGCGGGUCGGUGAGCACGAAAAGUAGGGCCCCGCAGCCCUGGGGAACGUUUUUCUCUAAAUUACAGCUCUGCUCGACUCGUUCGUUCCCUGUUAAGCCUUUCCUGCGAGCAACCAAACCACACUUACCUUUUCUCGUCCGACCACUACCUGAAUUCCCGAUUUCUCUGAUGCGCAUGCUCGCGCUCGCGAUUUCUCAAAUAUGUCAAAAGACGUACAGUUGGUGCUGUUAUUGUCGAACUUCUUGUUAUAUGUGACCCAAUCCUCUUAAUUCAGCAGCAGAACUAUCAAUGGCAAGUAAAAAUAUAUUAUAAUUCAGUGGAAUUCUCUGAAUAGUAAUUUUUAAUUCAUGAUUGACUCGAAAAUGUUUGAGAUUAUAAUUUUUUAUUCAUCCUAGAAACCUAACCUAAUAAAAUUUAUUUGUUUUAUUUUCUUGAUAUUUAACUAUUAAUUUAUUAUGUUUGAUUUAUAUGUAUACAGUUUUAAAAUUUUUAUUAAGAAUGAAGUGGAAUUUGUAAAUGUAGGUUAAAUUCCAUUUAAAUGAGUGAAGGGUUCUUCAUUAGAAUAUGUAUAUGCUUCAAGCUAUUUAAUUAUGCCGUGCUAAUCAUCAAUACUUGUCAGUAGAAAUAACAAUCUCUUAAACAUGAAGUUCUUAACGGAUUGGUGACAGCUAUUCAUUAUGUAAAAGUAUGAAAAGCAAUUGAGCUAGCGAAAUCUGUGAGGUUCACGAUUUCAGUGUGGUUGGACAGGAGUUUUCAUAAGAUGUCCCGAUAUUUAUUAGACAAGAUAAGUAAACCGGAUUGCGAGCGGUUCAGAGCUGUCUUCAAAGAAUGAAAAUAGAGAAAUAAUCCAACGUUCCAAGACAAGGUCCAUUGGGUACAAAUUUUCAUCAUCCUGCCGCUAUACAGAAAUCUUACUCUCUUUUCUGAGUUUUUUUUUAUCCCGCUUUCUCAUUUUGUCACGUUGAACGCGAUACAUUGCAAUAUUAUAUUGAUUUUCUCAAAUCUAUAUACGAAUAAUUUAAUCGAUAAUAUUUGAAUCAAUAAUAUUCAUUUUCAAAAAGAGUUAGAAUAAAUCUGUAAUUAAUGAUAAAAUAAUAAUAAUAAUAAUAUUUAUUGUAAUAAUAAGUUUAAUCAAAUCAUUAUUUAUGGAAAAUAAUGUAGAAAUAAUCUAUCAUAAAUAGUUUUAAAAUAAUUAUAUUCAUAUGAAUAUAUUAAAUUUAAAAAAAAUAUUUUUAAAAAUCUUUUUUAUAAAAUAUUUACAAUUUUUUUUCUAGAAAUAUAUUCAAUUGCAAUAUGUUCAAAAAAUUUUUUAAAUACAAAAAUUUAAAUAUAUAUAUGAACUUUUAUAUUUUAUUUCAUAUAUGAAAUUCAUUUAUAACAUAUAACCAACUAUAAUAUUAUAUAAUUGUAUCACAUAUUCUACUACUUCCUUGAAUAACGUAGUUGAUUAAAUAUCAAAUUAUCUAGGGAAUUUUAUCGAACAUUCUUUGCAUAACUAAUCAAAAGAAUUCAACUGAGUUCUCUAACUAUCGAUAAUUUUAACGAAAUUUUAACGAUGUCUUUUCUAACGCAAAAGAUUAGUUCAAAGUUGGAUUAUAAAACCUGGGUCAUAAAAAACAAUUUGAAAAUUCCAGUCUAAUAGCCACGUACCGCAACUCGCGCGUCGCGAUUUCAUUAAUUUAACUCUUCUUCUCAGAUAACUUCGUACCAUUCACAGGAUCGUAAUUUCACGGAAAUGAUCAAGCUUCUUUCACGUCUCGAUUCUCUUAUUCCAUUUCGUAUAUAUGCAUAAGACAAGGACAAAGAUAUCGAAAGCUCAGAAAGACGAACGUUCCGCCAAUGGAGGCAACAGACAGGCAGAACUGAUUGGUAGUUGGUCCUGCGCCAUGGAUGAACUCACGUAGUUUCGAGUAUGCCCCGUUCGAGCCAUCAACAGAUGGAUUCUAACCUACAAUCUGCAUAAUUUCCUCGGCUGGAUUUCCUUAUCCUCCUGGCCGAUUCGCUUGCGUCCGAUGGAACUCGACUUCCAUUAACAAUUCCUUUUUUCGUUCUUCUCGAUCGCGUCGAGAUCUGGAAGUUUGUGCGAGUUUUAUUCACGUGCGAAUUGUUUAUAGCGCCCGUGUAUAGUUCGAGUUACGGCUAAUCUUGAAAUAGAGGUUAGAACAUGGUAUGAUUUCAAUUGGAAUAUUCAAUACUUUAAAUGGAAAUAAUGGCUUAUUGAAUGUAAUAAAAUUAUAUUAUUUAUAUGGUAUGAAGUUUAUUUUUGAUGAUUUUUGCAGUGUUCAUAAGUGAUAUUUGAAUAACAAAAUAUAUAUAGAUGAUUACAUAAAAAUAAUUGAAAGAAUUAUAAUAUACUUUAUAAAAUUUUACAUGAUGAUAUUAUAAAUCAGAAGUUUUUAUUAGUUAUACUAUUUCAGCUUAUUCCAUUCUCAAAGCAAUAAAAUUCAAAAUGAAAUUUCAUAAGAAACAGAUUAACUUUCCAUUCUUUUUAAACAAGUUUUCCCAGUUAAGAAGUCUCCUUGUUUGUAUCUUGACAUGCCGAGAACUGUCGAGUGUCGACAUAAGAGAGGCAAAGGAGAGGGGCGGGAUUUACAAAUAUUGAAACAGGCCGCAUUCGAGCAACUAUUAUUGACGGAAUGUAGUAGAGAGUCGAGUUGUUGUCGGUGUUCCUUUCGAGAAACCGAUGUGGUUCCGUGUGCACCUCUGGCUCGGGAAGUCGUAAUGAGCAGGAGAAUGCUCGUGGGAAACGAGAGAGAGCCGAUCGCAUAAGCGCGGGAAAGAAAGCGCACGCGCGCGGUCACAUGAUUGUGGACGCGCUCGCAAAAUUCAUGUGUUAAUGUCACGGAAGAAUUAUAUGCAUAUGCUCUGGAACUGUCUCAGCGUUAAUAGAUGGAGAUUAAAAUAAUGGAUGAAAGUUGAAUGUGGAUGCUUAAGAUUAAAUAAGUUCACUAUGAAAAUUUCUUUAAAUAUAAAGGAAUUUAAAGGUUAAAUAUUAGUAAUGCAUAUUGAAAUUAAUUAUUUGAAAAUUAUUUGAAAAAAAAUCUAAUUAUAUAUGAUGAUAUACUCCGCCAAUGACGCCAGAAACUAAUUCCAUUUUCAUGAUUAUAAAGUUAGAAUAUAUUAUUUUAUUAUUUUUAAUUCUUUUAAAAUCUUUCGAUAUGAUUGAAAUCACUUAUCAUGAUUUAUUAAUAUUAUAGAUAAUAACAAAAUAUUUGAAAUACAUUAUGAAUGCUUUUAUAUAAAUAUACUUUUCGUGUACAAAUGUAAUUUAACUUAUGAAUUAGAAUUUGAAAUUCUAAAAACAAA